rnacentral:rRNA from 1 species
UGCUGCAUGGCUGUCGUCAGCUCGUGUCGUGAGAUGUUGGGUUAAGUCCCGCAACGAGCGCAACCCUUAUCCCCAGUUGCCAUCAGGUAAAGCUGGGAACUCUGGGGAGACUGCCGGUGAUAAACCGGAGGAAGGCGGGGAUGACGUCAAGUCCUCAUGGCCCUUACAUCCCGGGCUACACACGUGCUACAAUGGCAGGUACAGAGGGCUGCGAAGCCGCGAGGUGGAGCGAAUCCCAGAAAACCUGUCUCAGUCCGGAUUGAAGUCUGCAACUCGACUUCAUGAAGGCGGAAUCGCUAGUAACCGCGAAUCAGCAGGUCGCGGUGAAUACGUUCCCGGGCCUU